rfam:Aspergillus sydowii CBS 593.65 ASPSYscaffold_1_Cont19, whole genome shotgun sequence.
GGGGUUAUAGCUCAGCGGGAGUAGCGUUCGACUGAAGUUCCAACUUCAUUCAUCCUUAAUCGAAAGGUCCCCGGUUCAAUCCCGGGUGACCCCA